UACGUAGGAGACGAGCGUUGUCCGGAAUUACUGGGCGUAAAGCGCGUGUAGGCGGAUGAGCAGGUCUGCUGUGAAAGCUCCUGGCUUAACCGGGAGUGGUCGGUGGAAACUGCUCGUCUGGAGGACGGUAGAGGUAGGUAGAAUUCCCGGUGUAGUGGUGAAAUGCGUAGAGAUCGGGAGGAAUACCUGUGGCGAAGGCGGCCUACUGGGCCGGACCUGACGCUGAGACGCGAAGGCGUGGGGAGCGAACGGG
rnacentral:rRNA from 1 species